rnacentral:rRNA from 1 species
GAUGAACGCUGGCGGCGUGCUUAACACAUGCAAGUCGAACGGGAAACCUUUUAUUGAAGCUUCGGCAGAUUUAACUGGUUUCUAGUGGCGGACGGGUGAGUAACGCGUGGGUAACCUGCCUUGUACAGGGGGAUAACAGUCAGAAAUGACUGCUAAUACCGCAUAAGCGCACAGGACCGCAUGGUCCGGUGUGAAAAACUCCGGUGGUAUAAGAUGGACCCGCGUUGGAUUAGCUAGUUGGCAGGGUAACGGCCUACCAAGGCGACGAUCCAUAGCCGGCCUGAGAGGGUGAACGGCCACAUUGGGACUGAGACACGGCCCAGACUCCUACGGGAGGCAGCAGUGGGGAAUAUUGCACAAUGGGGGAAACCCUGAUGCAGCGACGCCGCGUGAAGGAAGAAGUAUCUCGGUAUGUAAACUUCUAUCAGCAGGGAAGAAAAUGACG